UACGUAGGGUGCGAGCGUUGUCCGGAAUUACUGGGCGUAAAGAGCUCGUAGGUGGUUUGUCGCGUUGUUCGUGAAAACUCACAGCUUAACUGUGGGCGUGCGGGCGAUACGGGCAGACUAGAGUACUGCAGGGGAGACUGGAAUUCCUGGUGUAGCGGUGGAAUGCGCAGAUAUCAGGAGGAACACCGAUGGCGAAGGCAGGUCUCUGGGCAUUAACUGACGCUGAGGAGCGAAAGCAUGGGGAGCGAACAGG
rnacentral:rRNA from 1 species